rnacentral:rRNA from 1 species
AGACAGAGGUGGCAAGCGUUGUUCGGAUUUACUGGGCGUAAAGAGCAUGUAGGCGGUUAGAUUAGUCAGUUGUGAAAUCCUAUGGCUUAACCAUAGAAUUGCAUCUGAUACUGUCUAGCUAGAGUGCAGGAGAGGAGAGUGGAAUUUCCAGUGUAGCGGUGAAAUGCGUAGAUAUUGGAAGGAACACCGGUGGCGAAGGCGGCUCUCUGGUCUGUAACUGACGCUGAGAUGCGAAAGCGUGGGUAGCAAACAGGAUUAGAAACCCCAGUAGUCC